UGAGCCCCUCCCACACCCCAAACCCCUCAUCAACAAUUUUCUUCAACCUGGUUGCCAGAAAAAAAGUUUGAAAACCGCUGAUAUACAUAACACAUAAUAGGAGCCAGGAACUCCAGAUUCUAAUCCUGACUUGCUGUGGGCACUGCAGUGGAUGGGGUUCAGCACAGAUGCCAGGGUGGGUCCGCCUGGGCAGCGCUUAUUACAAGAUCAGGGCCCAAGUCAGUAAUGAGCCAAUAACUGAGCAUGGUGCUAGGAAGCAAUAUGUUGUUACAAGUGUCACGGCAGUUUUGGAGAGGGUGUGUCAACCCCAGUGCUCAAAUUCCCUAUUUGAAUGCUUACAACCUGCCGAAAUUUCCUCUGUGGGUUCAGUUGGUUACAUGCUGCUUACCUUCCGGCCCUAAACCUUGCAACCUUUCUGCAGGCUGUGAAGACAGCAACCCCAGCCCAACUCAAAGAGGAAGAGUUGCAAAGCAUUUGGGGAUGCUUUGGGAUAAAGAUUAUUUAUUUGACCUAGACUAGGGCUUUCCAUGAGCUAGGAGCCUGAGACCACUUUCUCCGUAACUGGACCCAGAGGGGAAAGGAUGUUAUUCAUGGCUAUAGACCUGCAUCUCUAUUUUAAAUUCCCUUUAGCAGGGAUUUUCAUCAUACACCAUCCAUUGAAAGAUUAGGAGUAGUGUUAUUGUUCAUUCUCCCUCCCCGCGCCCCAACAUCUUCACGUGUUUAAUUCACUCUGGGCCAGAUUCUGAGUAGCACCUUAUUCCACAAUUAGCCCAGUUUACAUCAGGGAGGCCACUCAUGAAAUAAGGUGCUACUCAGUGGGGUGAAGGGUAUCUAAAUCCAGCUCUCUGUGUAUACAUCGAAACAGGUGCAUGCACCAGGAAGGGUGAAUAUGAGCAAUUAAUUUCUCACAGCAUAUCCUCAUCAUAGGCCAACAGAACUUAAUAGGGGCAAGUAAAGAGAAACCGUUACCCAUGGACCUCUCCAGGCCAACUGGCACGGGGGAUACAAGAAUACCCUGAUGCAGAUCAUUUUUCCUGUUUUUCAAGAUCAUUUUGAAUUCCAAUCCUUUCCUCCAAAGUGCUUGCAACCCCUCCCAGUGUGCUGUCUUCUGCAAAUUUUAUAAUAGUACUCUCUGUGAUGCCAGCAGACAAGUGCCAACUUAUGCCAAAGUUCCCAUGUGUCUAUUGAAUACUGACAAAUUCAUAGCUGGAAUAAGUCUGGUUUAUCUCGGUUAGUAUUGUUACAAUGGUAUUAGAAUUAUAAGAAUGUGUUUAGACUUUAUUGAAUGCUUGUGAGUUGCUGGAUGCAUUAAUCUCACUUAUAACAUCUGUAUCCGUAUUGCAAGGUAAUGUUUGAGUGGUUGUAUUUCAGCCUCAGGGACUGUGUAAAUCACCAGACAGGAGAGUGGCAUUAACCAGCAUGAAGUGCUGAUCACACCAGGAAAGGUCCAUUGACACACACCAGGAAAGGUUCAUUGUCACACACUGGACUAUUGUGGGAUGUUAAAGAGGACAAAAGAUGUUGGUUGUUCUGCCCUCCGCCCCCCUAAAGACAAGUCAUGCAAAGCGGAUUGCUCCCAUCAGUUGAAUUUGCAGCUCAGAGCACAUGGCAGGAGGGGGGAUAAAAACACCAAAUAGAAGAAACAGGAUCUUUAUGCUGCUUGCACUCUGGGGAGAGGGACAAGGUUUACGAGGCAUAAGCAUGAGAUUCCCAGCUGCUUAGUCUGGGUUAGCUCUAAAGGGCAUAUGAACUUCCUUAUUAUAGAAGUUUCUAUUACCUUUUGAAAACUAAGAUUGUACCUCAUUUGUGUGUAUAUGUUUACCUGCUUUAACUCGGUAAAUAACUCUCAUUUCCUUUUCCUAUUUCAUAAAUCUUUAGAUACUUGAUUGUAGGCUUGGCUAUAAGCAUUGCCUUUGUGUGAGAUCUAAGGUGCAAUUGUAAAUCAAAGUCUGAAACUCGCUUCCCUCCUUAGCCCACCAGCGCCCAGAUUUGUUAAUCUUCCAGGAGACUGUAAAACCCACCUUUCCCCCAGGCAUUGAGCAGGUUGAUGUGCUGGAGCAGUCUCAUUACAUUCUGAUCACUUCGCUGGCUUGGGGAAUAGACACAUCUUCAUUUUUUUAUAUAUUGAAUACUGUUAUUUUAAUCCAUGGAAAGAACCUAGGGUGUAAGAUGAGUACUAAAAAGUUUAAAGAGGUAAAUAAAGGAGUUGGGGAGAGCUGA